rnacentral:misc_RNA from 1 species
GCUAUCAUCAAAGUUCCACUUUACAUUAAUGGAGGAGGAAUGCGUUACAGUUCAAGCAGCAAAAAUGGCUGCAAUAGUUUUGUUCGAGGUCGAAAAUAUUCGGUGAAGAUGUGUUCUGCUCCAGCACAAAAUGUUGAGGUUUUAGUUAAAUCAAAAAUCGAGCCACUCCCUAUAAUGGUGAAUGGUUGUACUGGCAAAAUGGGGAGGGCAGUUCUUGAAGCAUCCAUCGCUGCGGGACUUCAACCUGUGCCUAUAUGUUUUGGUGGUCCACAAGAUGAAGGAAAAACUGUGGAGGCGGGUGGAAAAGAGAUAAUUGUGCAUGGUCCUUCGGAUAGAGAAAACCUCUUGUCCUCUGUCUUUGAGGAACACCCUAAUCUAAUUGUAGUGGACUACACAUUGCCUGCUGCAGUGAAUGAUAAUGCUGAAUUAUACUGUAAAGUUGGAGUGCCUUUUGUAAUGGGAACAACUGGUGGAGAUAGGGAGAAGCUGUACAAAACAGUGGUAGACUCAAAAGUUUAUGCUGUGAUCUCCCCACAAAUGGGAAAGCAGGUGGUAGCUUUUCUCGCAGCCAUGGAAAUCAUGGCAGAACAAUUCCCUGGAGCUUUCUCUGGGUACAGUUUACAGGUGAUGGAGUCUCAUCAAGCAAGUAAACUGGACACUUCUGGAACUGCGAAGGCUGUUAUCUCUUGCUUUGAGAACCUAGGUGUUUCUUUUGAUUUGGAUAAGGUACAACUAAUACGAGACCCCGUGCAACAAGUUGAGAUGGUUGGUGUACCAGAAGAGUACUUGUUAGGCCAUGCUUUCCAUAUGUACCAUUUGACCUCACCAGACGGAACUGUUUCUUUUGAAUUUCAGCACAAUGUUUGUGGUAGAUCAAUCUAUGCAGAGGGAACAGUUGAUGCUAUACUUUUCCUUGCUAAGAAGGUGAAAUUGAAAGAAGAGAAGCGGAUAUAUGACAUGAUCGACGUGCUGCGAGAGGGCAACAUGCGAUAGCAGCUGAGUUACAUAUGCUGGAGUAGUAAGAUGUAUAACAUUUAGACCUGUCGGUGGAGAGAAACGAAUGGUGGGUUCAAUUUUCUUGAUUUUGUCCUUCCAUUGGUUAGGAUCUGGAGUUGAAUGAUUCUUAAGAUGCAGCAAUCAAAAUAAUAUGAUUAGUAGGUUUAGCUCCAGCCUCCAUGCAAGCAUUGAGUGUGCUUCUCUUGUUGUAUGCUUU